AGAGUUUGAUCAUGGCUCAGAUUGAACGCUGGCGGCAGGCCUAACACAUGCAAGUCGAACGGUAACAGAAAGCAGCUUGCUGCUUUGCUGACGAGUGGCGGACGGGUGAGUAAUGUCUGGGAAACUGCCUGAUGGAGGGGGAUAACUACUGGAAACGGUAGCUAAUACCGCAUAACGUCGCAAGACCAAAGAGGGGGACCUUAGGGCCUCUUGCCAUCGGAUGUGCCCAGAUGGGAUUAGCUAGUAGGUGGGGUAAAGGCUCACCUAGGCGACGAUCCCUAGCUGGUCUGAGAGGAUGACCAGCCACACUGGAACUGAGACACGGUCCAGACUCCUACGGGAGGCAGCAGUGGGGAAUAUUGCACAAUGGGCGCAAGCCUGAUGCAGCCAUGCCGCGUGUAUGAAGAAGGCCUUCGGGUUGUAAAGUACUUUCAGCGGGGAGGAAGGGAGUAAAGUUAAUACCUUUGCUCAUUGACGUUACCCGCAGAAGAAGCACCGGCUAACUCCGUGCCAGCAGCCGCGGUAAUACGGAGGGUGCAAGCGUUAAUCGGAAUUACUGGGCGUAAAGCGCACGCAGGCGGUUUGUUAAGUCAGAUGUGAAAUCCCCGGGCUCAACCUGGGAACUGCAUCUGAUACUGGCAAGCUUGAGUCUCGUAGAGGGGGGUAGAAUUCCAGGUGUAGCGGUGAAAUGCGUAGAGAUCUGGAGGAAUACCGGUGGCGAAGGCGGCCCCCUGGACGAAGACUGACGCUCAGGUGCGAAAGCGUGGGGAGCAAACAGGAUUAGAUACCCUGGUAGUCCACGCCGUAAACGAUGUCGACUUGGAGGUUGUGCCCUUGAGGCGUGGCUUCCGGAGCUAACGCGUUAAGUCGACCGCCUGGGGAGUACGGCCGCAAGGUUAAAACUCAAAUGAAUUGACGGGGGCCCGCACAAGCGGUGGAGCAUGUGGUUUAAUUCGAUGCAACGCGAAGAACCUUACCUGGUCUUGACAUCCACGGAAGUUUUCAGAGAUGAGAAUGUGCCUUCGGGAACCGUGAGACAGGUGCUGCAUGGCUGUCGUCAGCUCGUGUUGUGAAAUGUUGGGUUAAGUCCCGCAACGAGCGCAACCCUUAUCCUUUGUUGCCAGCGGUCCGGCCGGGAACUCAAAGGAGACUGCCAGUGAUAAACUGGAGGAAGGUGGGGAUGACGUCAAGUCAUCAUGGCCCUUACGACCAGGGCUACACACGUGCUACAAUGGCGCAUACAAAGAGAAGCGACCUCGCGAGAGCAAGCGGACCUCAUAAAGUGCGUCGUAGUCCGGAUUGGAGUCUGCAACUCGACUCCAUGAAGUCGGAAUCGCUAGUAAUCGUGGAUCAGAAUGCCACGGUGAAUACGUUCCCGGGCCUUGUACACACCGCCCGUCACACCAUGGGAGUGGGUUGCAAAAGAAGUAGGUAGCUUAACCUUCGGGAGGGCGCUUACCACUUUGUGAUUCAUGACUGGGGUGAAGUCGUAACAAGGUAACCGUAGGGGAACCUGCGGUUG
rnacentral:rRNA from 1 species